rnacentral:tRNA from 1 species
UCCCAGAUUGUCCAGUGGCUAAGACCCUGCGCUCCCAAUGCAGGGGGCCCAGGUUCAGUCCCUGGUCAGGGAA